rnacentral:rRNA from 1 species
UAAAAGGUACCCCGGGGAUAACAGGCUCAUCUUCCCCAAGAGUCCAUAUCGACGGGAAGGUUUGGCACCUCGAUGUCGGCUCAUCGCAUCCUGGGGCUGAAGCAGGUCCCAAGGGUUGGGCUGUUCGCCCAUUAAAGCGGUACGCGAGCUGGGUUUAGAACGUCGUGAGACAGUUCGGUCCCUAUCCUCUGUAGCCGUAGGAGAAUUGAUGAAGGCUGUCCCUAGUACGAGAGGACCGGGAUGGACGCAGCUCUCGUGUGCCAGUUGUUCCGCCAGGAGCAUGGCUGGUUAGCGACCUGCGGAAGGGAUAACCGCUGAAAGCAUCUAAGCGGGAAGCCUGUUCAAAGAUGAUUUCUCCCACCGGGAUAACCGGGUAAGGCCUGUGGCAGACCACCACGUUGAUAGGCCGGAUGUGUAAGCACAGCAAUGUGUUCAGCAGACCGGUACUAAUCGGCCGAGGGCUUGGAAUU